UAGGGAAUAUUAGUAAUGGGCGCAAGCCUGAACUAGCAACGCCGCGUGUGCGAAGAAGGCCUUCGGGUUGUAAAGCACUUUUUGAGAGGAUGAGGAAGGACGGUACUCUCAGAAUAAGUCUCGGCUAACUACGUGCCAGCAGCCGCGGUAACACGUAGGAGGCGAACGUUAUCCGGAAUUACUGGGCGUAAAGCGCGUGUAGGUGGGUUGGUAAGUAGGGCGUGAAAGCUCCGGGCUCAACUGGGAGAGGCCGUUCUAAACUGCCGAACUAGAGGAUGGUAGAGGGAGGUGGAAUUCCGGGUGUAGCGGUGGAAUGCGCAGAUAUCCGGAGGAACACCAGUGGCGAAAGCGGCCUCCUGGACCAUUCCUGACACUCAGACGCGAAAGCUAGGGUAGCAAACG
rnacentral:rRNA from 1 species